GCAGUGGUCUCAGCGAUGGCGGCUGCGUCGGCGUCGGUUCUGCAACGCUGUAUCGUGUCGCCGGCUGGGAGGCAUAGUGCCUCUCUGAUCUUCCUGCAUGGCUCAGGUGAUUCUGGACAAGGAUUACGAAUGUGGAUCAAGCAGGUUUUAAAUCAAGAUUUAACAUUCCAACACAUAAAAAUUAUUUAUCCAACAGCUCCUCCCAGAAUGUAUUUUUUAUUGCAGUUACACUGUUGGACCAAGUUUUGCCAGAUCAUAUACUCCUAUGAAAGGUGGAAUCUCCAAUGUAUGGUUUGACAGAUUUAAAAUAACCAAUGACUGCCCAGAACACCUUGAAUCAAUUGAUGUCAUGUGUCAAGUGCUUACUGAUUUGAUUGAUGAAGAAGUAAAAAGUGGCAUCAAGAAGAACAGGAUAUUAAUAGGUAAGACCUUUAAAUGUUGGUAAUUUAUAGCUGUUCACUUUUGUCUAAUUCUAUACAUCAAAUCUUACUUGGAACAUUAUUUAGAAGCACUUGUAUAUCAUUCGAUGCAUUCAUAGUUUCAGAUAAACUGUACAUAUUGAGGAUUUCAAAGAUAUUAGAAUUAUAAACAGCAGCACAUGAAACUUUAAUUGAUUUUCUUUUUGAAUAAUAAUGGAUUUUGAGAGUCUUGUGGCA
rnacentral:sRNA from 1 species